UACGUAGGCAGCAAGCGUUGUUCGGAGUUACUGGGCGUAAAGGGUGCGUAGGUGGCUCUAUAAGUAUGGUGUGAAAUCUCCCGGCUUAACUGGGAGGGUGCGCCGUAGACUGUGGGGCUAGAGUGUGGGAGAGGAAAGUGGAAUUCCUGGUGUAGCGGUGAAAUGCGUAGAUAUCAGGAGGAACACCGGUGGUGUAAACGGCUUUCUGGACCAUAAACUGACAC
rnacentral:rRNA from 1 species